rnacentral:lncRNA from 1 species
GUUAAUAAAAGUUUUAAAUAUUAUUCCUUCAUGAAAAUUUUCUUAUUACAUAGCGUUUUAACUCAGUUGUCUUCUCUACAUUAGGCAAACAUAAGAAAGAAGUUUGUAUUUAAGAGAUCUAUGGAGUAUGAGACUUUCUAGAUGUGUUUCCUGAUAAACUGCUCGAAUUGCUAAUAGACAGAAAAGUUGAGUUCACCAUAGAUCUUCAGCCUAAUACCUAGCCUAUCUCGGUUGCUCCUUACCACAUGACUCAUGUUGAGAUAGAAGAGUUGAGAAAAUAUAUUAAUGAAUUACAGGAUAG